GUCAGCACGGAUCGGACUAUGAUUGGAGGACCGCACCUAUUGAUCCUCAGGCUGUGUAUGCAAGUGGUGGAAAACCCCAUGGAAGGUACUCGAUUUUCGAUAACGUCAUCGACUCGAGCCAGGUGACGGUUCAGAGGGGAGGUUCGUCGAGGUCUGCUGCUCGUAGCUCCCGUCGCUCUACUCAGGAUACUGCAGAAGUUGAGCAACUACGAGAAGAGCUUAGGCAACAUCAGGAGCGGCAAAGGGUUCAGGAGGAAUACUUGAGGCAGCAUGCUGCUCAACAAGAAUACUAUGCUACUCAGUUUCAACAACAACAAGCACUGAUACAAGUAAGUUCAAAAAGAUCAUUCAUUUUAAGUUAUGUAUUGAUUUAAAACACUGACAUUAAUGUGUUCGGAAAUUUGGUAGCAACUAGCACAAGCCCAAGGGAUACAAUUUCCGAUGGCCCCCCCACCUCCACCUUCCAUACAUUUUCCUUGGCCUUCACCUCCACCUCCACCUACCGAACAUCAGGUAUAUGAGACUCCUCCAGCUACCUUGCCGGCGCAGCAACAAGAUGAUGGGUUAGACUUUGUCAAUACGCUCUUCGCGAGUGGAGGUAGCGAGCAUCACUCUUCGAUAUUUCCUGAUGUUGAUCGACAGUAGUGGGCUUUCAUUCGAUGUGUUUUGUGAGACUUCAAACUUGUGUCUUGUGAGACUUGUGAAUUCUUAUGUCGAGGUGGAUUUGACUUGUGAGACUUGUGUCUUGUGAA